rnacentral:rRNA from 1 species
CGCUGGCGGCGUGCUUAACACAUGCAAGUCGAGCGGUAAGGGCCCUUUCGGGGUACACGAAGCGGCGAACGGGUGAGUAACACGUGAGUAACCUGCCCCAGGACUUUGGGAUAACAGUUGGAAACAGCUGCUAAUACCGGAUAUGAGCCUCCCUGGCAUCGGGGGGGUUGGAAAGCUCCGGCGGUCUGGGAUGGGCUCGCGGCCUAUCAGCUUGUUGGUGAGGUAGUGGCUCACCAAGGCUUCGACGGGUAGCCGGCCUGAGAGGGCGACCGGCCACACUGGGACUGAGAUACGGCCCAGACUCCUACGGGAGGCAGCAGUGGGGAAUAUUGCACAAUGGGCGGAAGCCUGAUGCAGCAACGCCGCGUGCGGGAUGACGGCCUUCGGGUUGUAAACCGCUUUCACCUGUGACGAAGCGAAAGUGACGGUAGCAGGAGAAGAAGCACCGGCCAACUACGUGCCAGCAGCCGCGGGUAAUAA